GCAAAUGACCAUGCCACGCUGAAAGCGCCUGUUUUCGUCUGGUCACCGCAGUUAAGCAACGUUGGGCACGGUCAGUACUUGCAUGGGUGACCGCCUGUGGACACUGGGUGUCGCUGGCU
rnacentral:rRNA from 1 species